GGAGAGGUGCUUGAGUGGCUGAAAAGGACCGCCUGCUAAGCGGUUGGGUGAGUUUAACCUUGCCUCGAGGGUUCGAAUCCCUCCCUCUCCGCCA
rnacentral:tRNA from 1 species